rnacentral:rRNA from 1 species
UGGUCGAGUCGGUUUGCGCGGAAGAUUUAACGGGGCUAAAACUACAUACCGAAGCUACGGAUUGCAAUAAAUUGCGAUGGUAGGAGAGCGUUCUGUAAGCCGUUGAAGGUGAACUGUGAGGUUUGCUGGAGGUAUCAGAAGUGCGAAUGCUGACAUGAGUAACGAUAAAGGGGGUGAAAAACCCCCUCGCCAGAAGUCCAAGGUUUCCUACGCAACGUUAAUCGGCGUAGGGUUAGUCGGCCCCUAAGGCGAGGCAGAAAUGCGUAGUCGAUGGGAAAUGGGUUAAUAUUCCCAUACUUCAUAUAAACUGCGAUGGGAAGACGGAGAAGGUUAACGCAGCUUGGCGAUGGUUGUCCAAGUUCAAGCGUGUAGAGUAGGUUCUUAGGAAAACCCGGGAACCUUAGAUUUAGUUCUAAAGCUCAAGGCGUGAUAACGAACCCUCUUUUGGGAAAAGUGCGUGAUACCAUGCUUUCAGGAAAAUCCUCUAAGCUUCAGGUUAUAUGAAACCGUACCCAAAACCGACACAGGUGGACGAGAUGAGAAUUCUAAGGCGCUUGAGAGAACUCGGGUGAAGGAACUAGGCAAAAUGACACCGUAACUUCGGGAGAAGGUGUGCUCUUGCCGGUGAUUUUACUUGCUAAAUGAGCUGGUAAGAGUUGAAGAUACCAGGUGGCUCCGACUGUUUAUUAAAAACACAGCACUCUGCAAACACGUAAGUGGACGUAUAGGGUGUGACGCCUGCCCGGUGCUUGAAGGUUAAUUGAUGAGGUUAGGAUUCGUUCGAAGCUUUUGAUUGAAGCCCAAGUAAACGGCGGCCGUAACUAUAACGGUCCUAAGGUAGCGAAAUUCCUUGUCGGGUAAGUUCCGACCUGCACGAAUGGCGUAACGAGGGCCACACUGUCUCCACCCGAGACUCAGUGAAAUUGAAAUUGCUGUUAAGAUGCAGUAUACCCACGGCCAGACGGAAAGACCCCGUGCACCUUUACUACAGCUUUGCAUUGAACUUUGAUCCUACUUGUGUAGGAUAGGUGGGAGGCUUUGAAACU